GCCAUGCCGCGUGUCUGAAGAAGGCCUUCGGGUUGUAAAGGACUUUUGUCAGGGAGGAAAUCCCUAAGGUUAAUACCCUUGGGGGAUGACAGUACCUGAAGAAUAAGCACCGGCUAACUACGUGCCAGCAGCCGCGGUAAUACGUAGGGUGCAAGCGUUAAUCGGAAUUACUGGGCGUAAAGCGUGCGCAGGCGGUUGUGUAAGUCUGAUGUGAAAGCCCCGGGCUCAACCUGGGAACUGCAUUGGAGACUGCACGGCUAGAGUGCGUCAGAGGGGGGUAGAAUUCCGCGUGUAGCAGUGAAAUGCGUAGAGAUGCGGAGGAAUACCGAUGGCGAAGGCAGCCCCCUGGGAUGACACUGACGCUCAUGCACGAAAGCGUGGGGAGCAAACAGGAUUAGAUACCCUGGUAGUCCACGCCCUAAACGAUGUCAACUAGCUGUUGGGGGUUUGAAUCCUUGGUAGCGUAGCUAACGCGAGAAGUUGACCGCCUGGGGAGUACGGCCGCAAGGUUAAAACUCAAAGGAAUUGACGGGGACCCGCACAAGCGGUGGAUGAUGUGGAUUAAUUCGAUGCAACGCGAAAAACCUUACCUGGUCUUGACAUGUACAGAACUUUCCAGAGA
rnacentral:rRNA from 1 species